GGGGAUUUAGCUCAGCGGUAGAGCGCUUGCCUAGCGAGCACAAGGCCCUGGGUUCGGUCCCCAGCCCCG
rfam:Rattus norvegicus chromosome 20, whole genome shotgun sequence.